rnacentral:rRNA from 1 species
AUUGAACGCUGGCGGCAGGCCUAUCACAUGCAAGUCGAGCGGAUGAAGGGAGCUUGCUCCUGGAUUCAGCGGCGGACGGGUGAGUAAUGCCUAGGAAUCUGCCUGGUAGUGGGGGAUAACGUCCGGAAACGGGCGCUAAUACCGCAUACGUCCUGAGGGAGAAAGUGGGGGAUCUUCGGACCUCACGCUAUCAGAUGAGCCUAGGUCGGAUUAGCUAGUUGGUGGGGUAAAGGCCUACCAAGGCGACGAUCCGUAACUGGUCUGAGAGGAUGAUCAGUCACACUGGAACUGAGACACGGUCCAGACUCCUACGGGAGGCGGCAGUGGGGAAUAUUGGACAAUGGGCGAAAGCCUGAUCCAGCCAUGCCGCGUGUGUGAAGAAGGUCUUCGGAUUGUAAAGCACUUUAAGUUGGGAGGAAGGGCAGUAAGUUAAUACCUUGCUGUUUUGACGUUACCAACAGAAUAAGCACCGGCUAACUUCGUG